AUCACCUGGGGAUCUUGUUAAAAUGUGGAUUCUGCUUCAUUACACCUGCAAUUUGCCCUGAGAUUCUGCAUCUCUAGCAAGUUCCCAGGUGCUGCUGA
rfam:Myotis lucifugus cont2.16820, whole genome shotgun sequence.